rnacentral:lncRNA from 1 species
GGGAGAUAUAAACAGGGGAGAUAUAAAAACAAGGGAGAUAUAAAAACAAGGGAGAUAUAUAAACAAGGGAGAUAUAUGGAGAAAGAAGAAACAGGACUGAAUAAAUGUGUGCAGAAGGAUCCUGUAGCAGCGUCGUUCUUCCUGGCCUGUUGAGCGCGCGCAACAGUUGGUGCCGAAACCCGGGAAAAGAAACAUCUUCAGGCAAGAGCGAAGACCCGCUGCUACAGGAAGGAUUCAGAACUGCAUCACUGGGAAGGAGCGGUUAAUAAAGGUUCCCGUAAAACAGACUGUUGAGAAGGAUCUGGCGUGGAUUCAGAACUCUUCAGCUGGGGAACGGUACUGAUGAAGAGAAAGAAGAAAGAUGAAGACUGAAUAAACUGCUGUUAGAAGGACUGGUGGUCGCGUCGUUCUUGCUGGUCGAGAGCAGGCGCGACAAUUGGUGGCCCGUACGGGGAACCGACUCCCCCACCGAGUUCAGAACUUUCAGCAGUCAGUGGUUGCCGGCAGGGUAAGUUCACGGACCAGACGGAACCUCUUUGGGUGCCGGAGAGGUUGGUGAGACGCUGCAAGAAUGAGGAUCCUGAUCCAGUUGCCCC